AGUGGAAUUUCUGGAUUAUGUGGUUACUAUGCAGUAUACUUUAUGAGAACCUGCCAAUCAGUUUUUUCCAAAGUUGUUUUAUAAUUAUACAUUUUCACUAGAAAU
rnacentral:pre_miRNA from 1 species